GGAAAAUGGGUAAAAGCUUUAUCACAACAAUUGACUCCAAAUCAGUUUGUGUGUGAGAAGCACUUUCGCGAAGAAGAUAUUAAGAAAAUUGAUCGAUUGAUUAUUAAUGGAGCUGAAAUUAUCAUCCCUCGCGAAAGGUGGACUCUUUUGAAUGACAAUGUCAUUCCAAUAAACCCUCAGGAUUUGGAAAAGGACAUUUCUGAAGAGCAAGUUCCAAUAGUGCAAAAUGACAUUAAUAACUGAUCAAUCGAAAACCUGGAUUAUACACAACCCUUGUUAAAAAUCGUUCAAGUAACAAUUUAAAAGAAGAUUCUCAACCAGCAGGACCCCAUCAUAUGGAAUCACCAGAGAUUGUAACAGCUAAUAAUGCCAUUAUCUCGAACAUGUCUCCACCAUCAUGUGUUACACUAGAAGAGAUCCACUCAUUUUCACUCAAUACUGAUCCAAGGAUGGUGUUAUUUUGCUUGUGAUGAAGAGUUGAUAUUAUAUAAGAUAUGAAUUUUACUUUCCUAAUAAUCUUUCAGUGAAGGUUUCUUUCUCUCAACAACCAGAAAUUGUUAUUGAUACUACAUCGUCUAUAGAAGAUAUAAAAAUGUAUAUGGAAACUCUGCAAGCCACUAUUUUAUGUAAAGGAACUGACAUACACUAAAGGUACGAUAUAUUUUCUUUCAUUUCUUUUAAUAUAAAUAAAAAUUUCAUACUAUUACACAUUAGGUGAAAAUUGAAAAUAAACUUAAAGAUUCACCUAAAUCGAGGCUCCAUCUAGAACUGUGACACCUGAAGUAAAAUCAAGCAUCAAGUACAUCUUUUAGUAGUAGUGUGAAAAGAAAGAAUCUACAUUACCUUUGAAAAAUUCCAAAUCAUCUUGUAAGUCAAUAGAUAUGUUUUUUAGGUAGCAGAUUUUUUUUGUAAUUAUCUAACUGUAUG